rnacentral:lncRNA from 1 species
UAUUGUUAAAAAAGGUAAGAACCUCAAUUUUAUUGUUUUCUUUAGGAAUGUCUAUGACCAGAAUAAUUCUCACAUUUAAGGUUUUUUAAAAAUCCUCACUUAAUCUGAAAGGAAAAAGUGUGAAUGCACUUUUCUAUUCCAAAAGUCUAAGGGCUUCACAGAAGAAAGCUUAACAUCCAACAGUUACAUGAACAUGUUUAUAUAGAUACAGAGAUUUAGAUAAUAACUAUUGCCCAGCCACUAAAGAUCAAGAUUAAAAGAAUGAAAGUUCUCCUACUAUUAUUUUUCAAAAAGGUUGAGCGAGAGGGACAGAAUAUGUAUGUUUAUAGGUGUCAAGAGAAUGGGAGAAUAUUAAGCAACUUGACAAGACUAAGUUUAACUUUUAUUAAUAAAAGGAUUAACCAUGACCAUGAGUGGCUGGGCUUAUAGUUUGCUACAUCAAAGAAAUUAAAAAUUGAUUCUUAAGAAUAUUUAUAAUAGCAUUCAUUUUAUAGAGGCAUUUUAAUUUUUAAGCAAUGUUUUUUGUAAAUAUAUAAAACUAACCCUUAGUGUCAUGGAGGAGAAUCAUCAUAACUACUGCUAAAUCAAAGAAGAAUUUCCGAGAGCUGCCUGACAAUGUUCAUCUCAACACCUACACCCAAACUUUAGGGAAACAAUCUCUCUUUAGGGAAAGAUCUGGAAAACUGCCUGAUCAGAGUCAUCA